UGAGUGAUGAAGGCCUUCGGGUCGUAAAACUCUGUUGUUAGGGAAGAACAAGUAUCGGAGUAACUGCCGGUACCUUGACGGUACCUAACCAGAAAGCCACGGCUAACUACGUGCCAGCAGCCGCGGUAAUACGUAGGUGGCAAGCGUUGUCCGGAAUUAUUGGGCGUAAAGCGCGCGCAGGCGGUUCUUUAAGUCUGAUGUGAAAGCCCCCGGCUCAACCGGGGAGGGUCAUUGGAAACUGGGGAACUUGAGUGCAGAAGAGGAAAGCGGAAUUCCACGUGUAGCGGUGAAAUGCGUAGAGAUGUGGAGGAACACCAGUGGCGAAGGCGGCUUUCUGGUCUGUAACUGACGCUGAGGCGCGAAAGCGUGGGGAGCAAACAGGAUUAGAUACCCUGGUAGUCCACGCCGUAAACGAUGAGUGCUAAGUGUUAGAGGGUUUCCGCCCUUUAGUGCUGCAGCUAACGCAUUAAGCACUCCGCCUGGGGAGUACGGCCGCAAGGCUGAAACUC
rnacentral:rRNA from 1 species